UACGUAGGGCGCAAGCGUUGUCCGGAAUUAUUGGGCGUAAAGAGCGUGUAGGCGGCCAGGUAGGUCUGCUGUGAAAACUCGAGGCUCAACCUCGAGACGUCGGCGGAAACCAUCUGGCUAGAGUCCGGAAGAGGAGAGUGGAAUUCCUGGUGUAGCGGUGAAAUGCGCAGAUAUCAGGAAGAACACCCGUGGCGAAGGCGGCUCUCUGGGACGGUACUGACGCUGAGACGCGAAAGCGUGGGGAGCAAACAGG
rnacentral:rRNA from 1 species